GUAGGGGGCAAGCGUUAUCCGGAUUUACUGGGUGUAAAGGGAGCGUAGACGGAAUAGCAAGUCUGAUGUGAAAACCCGGGGCUCAACUCCGGGAGUGCAUUGGAAACUGUUGAUCUAGAGUGUCGGAGAGGCAAGCGGAAUUCCUAGUGUAGCGGUGAAAUGCGUAGAUAUUAGGAGGAACACCAGUGGCGAAGGCGGCUUGCUGGACGAUGACUGACGUUGAGGCUCGAAAGCGUGGGGAGCAAA
rnacentral:rRNA from 1 species